AUGCCCCCUUGGCAGCACAUGUACUGAAAUUGGAACAAUGUAGAGAAGAUUAGCAUGACCCCUGCGCAAGGGUGACACGCAAAUUCGUGAAAGAAAGCGAGGCUUG